CCUACGUGAGGCAGCAGUGGGGAAUAUUGCACAAUGGGGGAAACCCUGAUGCAGCGACGCCGCGUGAGUGAAGAAGUAUUUCGGUAUGUAAAGCUCUAUCAGCAGGGAAGAAGAAAGACGGUACCUGACUAAGAAGCCCCGGCUACCUACGUUCCAGCAGCCGCGGUAAUACGGAGGGGGCAAGAGUAAUCUGGAUUUACUGGGUGGAAAGGGAGCGUAGACGGCUGUGCAAGUAUGAGGGGAAAUCCCAGGGCUCAACCCUGGGACUGCUUUGGAACUGGUGGAGCUAGAGUGAUGGAGAGGUAAGUGGAAUUCCUAGUGUAGAGGUGAAAUGCGUAGAUAUUAGGAGGAACACCAGUGGCGAAGGCGGCUUACUGGACAGUAACUGACGUUGAGGCUCGAAAGCGUGGGGAGCAAACAGGAUUAGAUACCCUGGUAGUC
rnacentral:rRNA from 1 species